rnacentral:lncRNA from 1 species
CGUCUUCUCACGGGUGCUAAGGUCGUGUGCUGCACUGCUGCUGCAAGGGUUCUGAGGUCUAGUGAAGCUGGGCGACUGGCCGGGUAAUUGCUGCAGUCGGGGCGCGCUAGGCUGAGGCUGCGUAGGGCAGAGGCUUCGCUGGGAUAGGCAGGCUGCAGGCGGGGAGGGUUUAGGCAGGCGAGGAGCCGCGCAGGGCAGAGGUGAGGCCGCGACUAGGCUAGGUGAGGCCUCGGUGGUUAGGCUGGGCUGGGCUGUGCUUAGCGUUGCGUCUUGGGAUUGCAGAUGCUCUGUAAGGUGGCAAUGUAGGCGGGGAUGGCUUGCUUGUGGAGGCUGAUGGUGUGCUGCUGUGGGGUUGAC